UACGUAGGGGGCUAGCGUUGUCCGGAAUCAUUGGGCGUAAAGCGCGUGUAGGCGGCCCGGUAAGUCCGCUGUGAAAGUCGGGGGCUCAACCUCGGAUGCCGGUGGAUACUGUCGGGCUAGAGUGCGGAAGAGGCGAGUGGAAUUCCUGGUGUAGCGGUGGAAAUGCGCAGAUAUCAGGAGGAACACCAAUAGCGAAGGCAGCUCGCUGGGACGUACUGACACUGAGGCGCGAAA
rnacentral:rRNA from 1 species